AUCCUCCCCAUGCCGGGAAGGGUGAGAAGCUUCGACUAAGGUUCGAUUCGAGCGAAAGCGAGACAACGUUGCCGCAGGCAACGACCCGAAGGGCGAGGAGCAGCGCGACGAGUAAUCCUUCCCCCACCACCA
rnacentral:sRNA from 2 species